AAAUACAGUUCAAAUGUGUAUCUAAAAAUAUAUAAAAAAAUCCGCAAUUCUGUUUUCUGUUGCCACGGAAACAAAAUGGCCGCCAAUUUGACUAUAUAUUUAACUGCUCAUAACUUUUCCAUUUCUACUCCAAUUUUGAAAAUUCUUUCAUUUCUUCAAAUGAUUUAAGAAAUCCCAGCUGACGAAAUUAACGUUAUAACAACGUAAUUGCUUUUCCCUUUAAUAGUUUAGAAAUGGAACUCUCAUUUAUUUUAUAGCUCUUACUAAAAGAGUUUCAACAGACGCGAUGGACUGCGUGUGGAUAUAAUGCAGUUGGCCACUGAAUGAAUAGGACUGAUGCGGAAUGUGCAUAUUGUAUAUAAGUUGCAUUCUUUGCUUCCAAAGGAUCUUUUUAUGAUUUUCAUUAAAUUUGUAAAUUGUGAAAAGAGUUGUUUUGAAAUAUAUUCUGUAAUCUCUACUCUUACCUAUUAUUUUUGGCCAACAGAGUGCUUGCAGAGAUUUCGAUGCAUUGUUUGAAAAUUUUGAAAACAGUUUAUGAUGCGAAAACAGCAGGUGAUAGUUCUUAACAUUUUAUAAAAGAUUUUACAUUCCAACAUUCAUGUCUCCAAGGUUUGUUUAAAAAACGCACUUGUUGGUAAGGCUCUAUGGGCAGGGUAGUGUUUAGUAUUUCUUACUUAAAUAGUAUAUGAUGGCACAAUUAACAAUGGGUUUAUAUCGCUAUAUGCAACUCGUCUGGGCGUACCAGAUGCUUAUAAGCAUUGGUAUUGGCAAUAGGGGUAAAAUGACCUCAAGGGGAGCGGUGCGGUUAUGGCUGUUAAUAGAUUUAUAAUAACUAUUAUUAUUAUUAUUAUUAUUAUUAUUAUGUACAACGCCAUUGAAUAUAUCAUUGUAUAAAAAGGCGUUUAAUCAAAUUAUUCAGUUUCAGUUGUUCAUUCAAUCCAAAAUGCGUCAUGAUUUGAAUUAGUUUUGGAAGUGGAAGUUCAAAAGUGUUAUCUAUAUACCUGUCACCGUCUUUAUUCCCUUGUAUACAAUACUGGUAAAUGACACAGUAUAUGAUUUACAAUGUAACAUGUUUAAAAAAACUGUCGUUUGUGUAUGCUUUUUAUAGCAAUUUUGUUUGAUGAAUGUUUCCUCUAAUUCUCCUCUAACUUAAAGAUGAACUGCCAUCACAGAGUAUUCUAUGUUUAUCUUUCCUAGAGGACUCUAGAAGUGAAGGGACACUAUAAGGCAGUAUCUGAAUGACUUCCAAGAAGGAUAUAAUACUUGAAUAUUAAUUACAAGUGAAAAUGAUAUCAUAAAUCAUUUGGUUUGAGCCGAAACAACAGGAAUUAUGUUAUAAUGUUUACACACAUAUCCAAAGAUGGUAAGACAUUUAUAUUACACCGUUUAGAAAUGAAAUUCUCUUUUAGUUUGUAACACGUAUUAGGAUAGUUUCUGAAUCAACAAACACAACUGACCUGACCAAGUCACUGAAUAUUAGGACUGAUGAAGGUAAGUACACAGUGUGUUUGGGUUAAAUUUGUAAGUUAUGAAAACGUAAUAAUUGUAUGUAAGAAGGAUUAUUAUAACUGUUGUAUAGCUGGUUGAUGUAAUUACUAGAUAAUACUAUCUAGAGUCGUAUUGACAUACUUUUAUAGAUAGCUGGACAACAGGGUGUUUUGGAAUAGAAGGAAUUUGUUCGUUUGGCGAUAACUGGUCGUCCUUGUCCUUUCCUACUUUUCCGCUCUUGAGGUUAGAAAUGAUAUAAGCAUGUCUUAUUCCCUGUGGAAAGUUCAAACAACCUCAUUUAAUCUGCAUUUUUAUAGAUUUAUAAAGUUUGCAUUUUUGGCUUUUUGCUCUUUGCCCAACAGGCAGGGUGUCAACAUACACAUGCGUUUGGCAAUUUCAAGUGUUUAGUUGAAAUAUUUCAUGAAUUUUUCCCGCUGAAAUGAUUACUUUCAAAAAUGUCUAAAUUUCUCUCGUAUGAUGGGAAAAUUGAUUGUUCUCAAUGAUCACUAAAUACCAUUUAAUAUAACAACACUUUGUUCAAGGGUGGGAAGAAUUUUAUAGCCGCCCCAUAGUACUUGCAGGCAUGUUUUUCAGUUUUGAAAUAAAUUUUGAGAGUAAAGUUCAAAAGUGUCAGAUGCCAUAGUAGUAAAUGUUACAGUCUAUGAAUUAUCAUGUAAAAAGUUUACAAUUUGUUCGAUUUCUGUUUCCUCAAAUUUUCCACUAACUUUAGCUGCAAUCACAGUCUGUAGUAUGUCUAUCUUUUACUAAAACAAGCUAGAAGUGAAAUCAGAAUGAUUGCUUAGAAUGAUAUUAUGUUUGAAUAUUAAUUAUCAGUGAAACAAAAGGAAUUAAGUUACAAUGUUUAAAAACUUAUUCAAAUCAAUUUCUAAAUGACUGCUUAAUGUUAAAUUCAUUCUUAGAAUGUUUCCGUUACAGUUGCUUAUUGAGCUUUCAUUGGUUAUUGUAUGAGGACAUAUUUGUAAUGUUCAUUGAACAGCAUUUAAUCAAUCCUAAAUCGGUAUUAAAUAAUGGACAGCACAUGUAUAAUGAGAAAAGACACACCAAUAUAUGCACGCAGACAAAAACAAAAAUUGCACACAAUACAUAUAAAUAUAAAGAAAAAUAGCUCUACAUAUUUUGUACAGUUUCUACUAUAAGCAUGAUGAUACAUAUGAGAGCUAUUUAUAAGUAUGCACCAAUAACUAAAAAGAAAAUUCAUUCCCGUCGAUAUUUUGUCCGUUCGGCUGUUUCUUUGUUAUUGCUUGCAAAAUAUUUUGAAUGUAAAAUGCCUCUCAACUGUAAAAGUCUCUGUAUUGUUGCGCAGAAAGUUGGUAAAGAUGAAAGAGGAAAUGACUGUUCUUUCCUGUUUUGGUAUAUAUAUUUUCCCUAAAGAUUGUAUGAUUAGCGUUUUGGUAAGUUAGUGCAAGAUAUCAUACAGAACUGCAUCAAACUUCACGGUUUUGCAUUAUAUCUGCAGUGUACACGCAGCAUUGCUGUAAUUUUUCUGCAAAGUAUUUCCAUUCACUGUCACUGUAGGAAGCAUGAAUGAAUUAAUUGAUGCAAACUCUACAGAAAUAUUUCUUAUGUAGGAUUAACUUAAAAUGCAUCAUAUUUGCAAAGAUGCUGUUUUCCAAUAGACAUGCAGUGCAAUUUAUAUAUUUAAUUUUUCCAACAAUAUACUAUAGAUAUCCUGCAAAUGCGAUAUUUAACGCAAAAAACAACAUACACUACCAGCACAGCAUCUACUACAAACUUUCUAUCUACAAACAUAUUUUAUUUUAUACUGCGACUGCAGCGGAGACAGAAACUGCAUAUAUAUAUUAGUAUAUAUUAAUAUGCACUACAGCAUAUAUGAAGUUAGUCUCCACUUUCAAACUUAUGCCUGGAAAUAUAACGCAUGCAUACUUAUAGACCAUAUACAGCUUUUUGUGAACAGUUCUGUAAAUAACAACAUUUAUAACUUGUUUCUAAAAACCAUUUUUCUGAACAUUUCCUAAUCAAGAAAGUCGCCACAUCAAUAACUACAGUGUGAGAACAAGGAUAUGAAAUGUAGGAGAACUUGUACUGAGAACAGGUGAUACAGAGACUUUCUGAACAAGUGGUAGAACCGUUUCUUGAAUAGUAUGUAAGCUUAGUGACUCAUAAGUUUGAGAUUGGGGCGGUCAUAUAUUCCAUUUCAAUUAAUAUAAAAUGAGUCUGAGUUUGUUUGAUUUAAUUAUAAAGUUUGUGUAAUAUUUGUAUUGAAUUUAAUUUUUUAUUGAUUAGCGUCUGCUUCUGCUGGAUGUACGGAUCUUUGUUCGUUUUGCUAUUUGUUAUGAUAAAGUAUUACUCCAUUUAUUCAAUUUGGUGCUUUUGAAAAAGUUGGAAUUGCGCAUAACGCAAUUUCAUAAUAAUGCUAGAGAGAAGAUAUUUGUUCUGUAUGAAAACAAUUAUCAUGCAUUUUGUUGAAUAUAGAUGUUUUCAUUUAUUCAUGCUUUAAAUCUUAUUGAUAUAAAUUAUGUCUCUAAAUCUAUGUUGAGUUGAUCUGUGAUCUUUUUGAGACAACUAUAUUUUUGUAUUUCUAGAAAUCACUCUUAACGGCAAUGUUUAAUUUGUCUUGAAUUAAGAUCAUAUUACAACUUAUGAUUCUCUCUUUUUAAAAAGGAAUAGUAGUUACCAUACUCGUAAUAAAACAAAGUGCAAUACACAAAUACAAGGUAAAUAUAACGUGUAAUAUACUGAUAAAAGUUGUAAUUGAAGGUGUAAUACAUGUUUACAAGAUGUAAUACAGUGUUAAUUCAUAGAUACAAUGUGUAAUACUAGGAGAAAUACAUGAAUCGGAGGUGUAAUACAUAGUUUUAAAAGAGAGAUGAAAUACAGAUACAUUUACAUUGUAUGAUACAAGGUGGAAGUGUGAUGCAUAUAUACAAUGUAAAUCACAGGUAUAAAGUGUGAUGCCCAAAACAUCCUGUUUCACAUAAAUAUUUGGUAUAAUUCACAUACUCAAAGUGUGAUACACAAAUACAUCUUGCAAUAAUACACAGAUACAAGAUGUAACACACGAAACCAUUGUGUAAUAAUACACAGAUACAAGAUGAAACACACGACACAAGAUGCAUUGCACAGAAAAAAUGUGUAAUUCACAGGCAUACAGUGUAAUGCAUACAUGAAAAGUAAAAUAUGUAAAAAUGCGAUGUAAGACACGAAUUCAAGAUUAAUACAACAUGUGUAGCACAGAGUAACUAUGUGUAAACCAAGGCAUAAGGCGAAAGGUACAUAUAUGUUCACAUAGGGUAAUACAGGGUACCAGGUGAAAAAAAGAGGUAUAAGGUUAGCGAUAACCUGAUCAAAA
rnacentral:lncRNA from 1 species